rnacentral:rRNA from 1 species
GACGAACGCUGGCGGCGUGCCUAAUACAUGCAAGUUGAGCGCUGAAGGUUGGUACUUGUACCGACUGGAUGAGCAGCGAACGGGUGAGUAACGCGUGGGGAAUCUGCCUUUGAGCGGGGGACAACAUUUGGAAACGAAUGCUAAUACCGCAUAAAAACUUUAAACACAAGUUUUAAGUUUGAAAGAUGCAAUUGCAUCACUCAAAGAUGAUCCCGCGUUGUAUUAGCUAGUUGGUGAGGUAAAGGCUCACCAAGGCGAGGAUACAUAGCCGACCUGAGAGGGUGAUCGGCCAAACUGGGACUGAGACACGGCCCAAACCCCUACGGGAGGCAGCAGGAGGGAAUCUUCGGCAAUGGACGAAAGUCUGAACGAGCAACGCCGCGUGAGUGAAGAAGGUUGUCGGAUCGUAAAACUCUGUUGGUAGAGAAGAACGUUGGUGAGAGUGGAAAGCUCAUAAAGUGACGGUAACUACACAGAAAGGGACGGCUAACUACGUG